UACGAAGGGGGCUAGCGUUGCUCGGAAUCACUGGGCGUAAAGGGUGCGUAGGCGGGUUCUUAAGUCAGAGGGGAAAUCCUGGAGCUCAACUCCAGAACUGCCUUUGAUACUGAGAGUCUUGAGUUCGGGAGAGGUGAGUGGAACUGCGAGUGUAGAGGUGAAAUUCGUAGAUAUUCGCAAGAACACCAGUGGCGAAGGCGGCUCACUGGCCCGAUACUGACGCUGAGGCACGAAAGCGUGGGGAGCAAACAGG
rnacentral:rRNA from 1 species